rnacentral:rRNA from 1 species
GAAUUUUAUAUAAGUAGAUUAUUUAAUUAAGUUUUAUAAGUAAUUUAAAUUAUAUUUAAUUGGGAGGAUUGUUAAAUUAAAAGAACUUUAAUUAAGUUUUAGAAUAUUAAUUAAUAGAUUUUAGAAUGGUUAUUAAAUUAAAUAAGAAUUAAUUACCUUAGGGAUAACAGCGUAAUAUUUUUAGAGAGUUCAUAUUAAUAAAAGUGUUUGC